GAGCCCAUUCAACGUGAGAUAAAAAGGGGUAAUGGUCAGGGAAAAGGAGUCAGACAUGUGUUUCCCUGACUUAGGUAUUUCUGAAAUUCUUUUGCUCUGUUUAAUUCUUCAGAGGCUAACUUCCACACCCUUCAGAAUGUGGGAUCGUCUGUUCACUGAUCUCACAAGUUCUCUGGAGGGAACAUCUGGACAAGUUUUCCUUCCAGACAAUACCAGUUGGGAUGACUCAAACUGUGGCUUAACAAGAUAGGAACGCCAAGGCUCAGAGCUGCCAUGGGGUUUGCCCAAGGUCACACAGCUGGUUUGUGUGGAAGCUGAGGUUUGGAAGAUAGAUUUCGUGGCUGCUGAUUUCUCAUUUCCAAUUCAGGAUGAUUUGCUCAUCCCACAACACCUUUCCUUGCCCACCUAAGAGUGCCUCCUCUGGACUAGAGGAUGUCCUUUUCUUUGUGAGAACAUGUGAGAACUCUUACCAUUUCUCAGAUCACCCAAUACCUUUUCUUUGCAACAGUGAUGCCAUGGCUGGAAAUGGGAGUUGGGCUCACUAGAGUCAGCUUCUGAAUACAUCUUUAAUAUCUUCAUGAUUCGUUAUAACUGAAAUCCUUCACUCCUGAUAACAUUACUUCCCAGAAUUCCAUAGUAGCAUAUGAAUAGCAUGCUCUUUUUCUCCCCCCUACCCCCCUUCUUGAGUCAAUAGUCAUAUGGGCACACUUUAGUCAUCCAUUCUGGACACACAUCCUGCCUAGGAGAGCUGGUUAUAUAGCAAGUUAGAGAGCAUCCUUUUGAGUUUUUGGUGUAUUUCCUCAUAGUGCUUGGGAUGUUUAAAAAGUUAAUACACAUUGAUUGUCUUGUUAUUUAAUUAUUAACCAAUUAAUUAAUUUAUUCAUGAGAAUAGGUGGACAGGCAGUAUGCUG
rnacentral:lncRNA from 1 species